GUUGCAAUAAGACUCGAGGAGAAUUGAAAG
rfam:Thermococcus celer strain Vu 13, complete genome.